GUCCCCAUCGUCUAGAGGCCUAGGACAUCGCCCUUUCACGGCGAGAACAGGGGUUCGACUCCCCUUGGGGACGCCA
rnacentral:tRNA from 4 species